rnacentral:rRNA from 1 species
GACGAACGCUGGCGGCGUGCUUAACACAUGCAAGUCGAACGGAAAGGCCCUGCUUUUGUGGGGUGCUCGAGUGGCGAACGGGUGAGUAACACGUGAGUAACCUGCCCUUGACUUUGGGAUAACUUCAGGAAACUGGGGCUAAUACCGGAUAGGAGCUCCUGCUGCAUGGUGGGGGUUGGAAAGUUUCGGCGGUAGGGGAUGGACUCGCGGCUUAUCAGCUUGUUGGGGGGGUAGUGGCUUACCAAGGCUUUGACGGGUAGCCGGCCUGGGAGGGUGAACGGGGACAAGGGGACUGAGAUACGGCGCAGUCUCGUAUGGGAGGCAGCAGUCGAGAGUAUUGCGCAGUGGGCGGACGCCUGAUGCAGCAACGUCGCGUGCGGGAUGACGGCCUUUGAGGUGUAAACCGCUGUCGCCUGUGACGAAGCGUGAGUGACGGUAAUGGGUAAAGAAGCACCGGCUAACUACGUG